UACGAAGGGUGCAAACGUUGCUCGGAAUUAUUGGGCGUAAAGCGCACGUAGGCGGCUUUUCAAGUCCCAUGUGAAAUCCCACGGCUUAACCGUGGAAGUGCAUGGGAAACUGGAAAGCUUGAGUACUUAAGAGGAGAGUGGAAUUCCCGGUGUAGCGGUGAAAUGCGCAGAUAUCGGGAAGAACACCCGUGGCGAAGGCGGCUCUCUGGGACGGUACUGACGCUGAGACGCGAAAGCGUGGGGAGCGA
rnacentral:rRNA from 1 species